GACAGAGGGUGCAAACGUUGUUCGGAAUUACUGGGCGUAAAGAGCGCGCAGGCGGUCGUUCAAGUCGCGUGUGAAAGCCCCCGGCUCAACUGGGGAGGGUCACGCGAUACUGAUCGACUCGAAGGCAGGAGAGGGUAGUGGAAUUCCCGGUGUAGUGGUGAAAUGCGUAGAUAUCGGGAGGAACACCAGUGGCGAAGGCGACUACCUGGCCUGUUCUUGACGCUGAGGCGCGAAAGCUAGGGGAGCAAACGGGG
rnacentral:rRNA from 1 species